GCCGAAGGUGGGGCUAAUGACUGGGGUGAAGUCGUAACAAGGUAGCCGUACCGGAAGGUGCGGCUGGAUCACCUCCUAACAGGGAGACAACAAAAUGUUUAAUAUUAUUAUUUUGUCACCUUAGGUCGAUCGGUAUCUCACGUUUUUAAUUUAUUAAGAAUUUCAUUUCCUAAGUUUUUCUAGGUCACACCCAUUAUUUUUCCUGGGCCAUUAGCUCAGGUGGUUAGAGCGCACCCCUGAUAAGGGUGAGGUCCCUGGUUCAAGUCCAGGAUGGCCCAUAUCUCUAUGUUGGGGGUAUAGCUCAGUUGGUAGAGCGCCUGCUUUGCAAGCAGGAUGUCAGCGGUUCGAGUCCGCUUACCUCCACUGAUUACCACCUCUUCCAUAACCGGUAGAAAGGAAAUGUUUUGAGUUGUGAUCAAAUUCUGAAAGAAUCUAGCUUCCUAAUGAAUUCAUUAAGAUGCUGGACUCAUUGAAUUAAUUUCAUUGUUUUCAGAGAACCUUGACAACUGCAUAGAUUAUUUUUAAAGACAAUAAGCAUCUUUAAUGAUGCAGAUUUAUUAUUUGUGCGAAUGCAUUAAUAACAAUUCUAUUAAGCUGAUGCUUCAAUUUUUGAAGUUAUUGGUCAAGCUACAAAGAGCUCACGGAGGAUACCUAGGCACACAGAGGC
rnacentral:misc_RNA from 1 species